GGUCGCCCUUGCCACCUUCCUCCAUCCCCAGAUCAUUCUGGCUGACGAACCAACUACCGCCCUCGAUGUCGUUGUGCAGCGUGGCAUCCUGCGCAUGCUCACCCGCUUACAGCAGGCAAUGGGCAACACCUUGAUCAUCGUCUCGCACGACAUGGGCGUCCAUCACCAGAUCACCCAUCGCAUGGCGAUCAUGUAUGCAGGCCAGCUUGUCGAAGUCGGGCCGACUGAACGUAUCUUCGCCUCCGCCGAGCACCCGUAUACGGAGAUGCUGAUCAAGUCGCUGCCUCGCAUAGGCGACCAUACCGCACGCGAGGGCAUCCGGGGACGGCCCCCCAGCCUAGUCGACCCGCCGCGCGGGUGUCCCUUCGCCCCGCGCUGCCCGCACGCCAUGAGCAUCUGCACCCAAUCCCGUCCGCCGCUCGUCGAAACAGAACGCGAUCACCUUGCUGCCUCCCGUAGGAGU
rnacentral:rRNA from 1 species